AAUUUUGGACAAUGGGGGCAACCCUGAUCCAGCCAUCCCGCGUGUGCGAUGAAGGCCUUCGGGUUGUAAAGCACUUUUGUCAGGGAAGAAAAAGUACGGGCUAAUAUCCUGUGCGAAUGACGGUACCUGAAGAAUAAGCACCGGCUAACUACGUGCCAGCAGCCGCGGUAAUACGUAGGGUGCAAGCGUUAAUCGGAAUUACUGGGCAUAAAGGGUGCGCAGGCGGUUUAUCAAGAAAGGUGUGAAAUCCCCGGGCUCAACCUGGGAAUGGCACUUUUAACUGAUAGGCUAGAGUAUGUCAGAGGGGGGUAGAAUUCCACGUGUAGCAGUGAAAUGCGUAGAGACGUGGAGGAAUACCGAUGGCGAAGGCAGCCCCCUGGGAUAAUACUGACGCUCAUGCACGAAAGCGUGGGGAGCAAACAGG
rnacentral:rRNA from 1 species